rnacentral:rRNA from 1 species
CGCACGGGUGAGUAACACGUGUCCAACCUGCCGUCUACUCUUGGACAGCCUUCUGAAAGGAAGAUUAAUACAAGAUGGCAUCAUGAGUCCACAUGUUCACAUGAUUAAAGGUAUUCCGGUAGACGAUGGGGAUGCGUUCCAUUAGAUAGUAGGCGGGGUAACGGCCCACCUAGUCUUCGACGGAUAGGGGUUCUGAGAGGAAGGUCCCCCACAUUGGAACUGAGACACGGUCCAA